CUCAGUUCGGAUUGAAGGCUGAAAUUCGCCUUCAUGAAGCUGGAAUUGCUUGUAAUGGCAGGUCAGCAUACUGCCGUGAAUACGUUCCCGGGCCUUGUACACACCGCCCGUCACACCAUGAGAGUUGGAAAUACCCGAAGCCUGUGAGCUAACUUUUAGAGGCAGCAGUCGAAGGUAGAGCCAAUGAUUGGGGUGAAGUCGUAACAAGGUACC
rnacentral:rRNA from 1 species